rnacentral:rRNA from 1 species
CCUACGGGUGGCAGCAGUGAGGAAUAUUGGUCAAUGGGCGCGAGCCUGAACCAGCCAAGUAGCGUGAAGGAUGAAUGCCCUCGGGUUUGUAAACUUCUUUUAUAAAGGAAUAAAGUGAGGCACGUGUGCCUUUUUGUAUGUACUUUAUGAAUAAGGAUCGGCUAACGCCGUGCCAGCAGCCGCGGUAAUACGGAGGAUCCGAGCGUUAUCCGGAUUUAUUGGGUGUAAAGGGAGCGUAGAUGGGUUGUUAAGUCAGUUGUGAAAGUUUGCGGCUCAACCGUAAAACUGCAAUUGAUACUGGCAGCCUUGAGUACAGUUGAGGUAGGCGGAAUUCGUGGUGUAGCGGUGAGAUGCUUAGAUAUCACGAAGAACUCCGAUUGCGAAGGCAGCCUACUAAACUGCCACUGACAUUGAUGCGCGAAAGUGUGGGUAGCAAACAGGAUUAGAUACCCUGGUAGUC